GUUUCGGUGGCCAUAGCGAGAGGGAAACACCCGGUCCCAUCCCGAACCCGGAAGUUAAGCCUCUCUGCGCCGAUGGUACUGCGAUGGGGACAUCGUGGGAGACUAGGACGCCGCCGGACU
rnacentral:rRNA from 1 species